AAACAGACCCGUGCGCACUCAGUCAGUCACAUCCAGAAUUUUAUUGUUUCUCCAACGCUUCAAUGGCAAAGCGUUAUCACAUUUUCCAUCAAUCACAGGGACAUGGCAAGUGAUUCAGCACCAGAGUGGCCCAGUGGAAUGAACUGACAUGUCAUUUUCACAAGUUUUUCAUUAGCUUUUUGACAGUUGUGUCCUGUGGAGGUAGCAGAAGUGUGUGUGAUCCUGAAGAUAAAAAGUUGAUGGGUAUUUUUUGGUGUGUGCUAAAGUGGCAGAGAAAUGAUAAAAUGAAAAAUGGGAGGAGUUGUCUCUGUAGAAUCUGUGUUAGGAGUGCCAGCUGUACAGUGUGAAGGCUCAGUGUGGUACCUCUGGAAAACGAGAUUGUAAUACUGAACUGCUUGUGUCUGUCAUGUUAUACGGGAACUGAGAAUCGUUAAGAAAAUAAUCAGGGAGUGCAGCUGGAGACUGGGAAAAGUUUAGCAGGCAUCACGCACACCACAGAAUUCUCCCGCCCACUCACACAAACAAAAGAGACAGUUUUACGAUAACUUCCUUAGACAAACUUUUCCUUCAGCUUUUGGGCGUCUUAUUCAACCCAGAGUAGUUGUGAAGUUUUGGGAAGUUUUGCAGGCAUCACACACACAACAAAAUGCCCCUGACCACUCACACAUACAAAAAAGACAGUUUUACGAUAACUUCCUGAGACAAACUUUUCCUUCAGCUUUUGGGCGCCUUAUCCAACACAGAGUAUAGUGUGAAGUUUGGGGAAGUUUUGCAGGCAUCACGCACACCACAGAAUGCUCUUUAUCACACCUACAGAAAGUUGAGUGUACAAUAACUUCUUGGGGACAACUUCUCAGCUUUUGGGUGUCUUAUUCAACCUAGAGUUAUUGCGAAGUUUGGGGAAGUUUUGCAGGCAUGACGCACACCACAGAAUGCUCUUCGUCACACCUACAGAAACUCAAAUGUACAAUAACUUCUUGGGGACAACUUCUCAGCUUUUGGGCAUCUUAUCCCACCCAGAGUAGUUGUGAGUUUGGGGAAGUUUUGCAGGCAUCACACACACCACAGAAUGUCAAGUGUACAAUAACUUAUUGGGGUCAACUUCUCAGCUUUUGGGCGUCUUAUCCCACCCAGAGUAGUUGUGAAGUUCCCAUUGUCUGUAACUUCUUGGCUGCACGGCUUGGAAUUAAUGCCACUCUCUGAGGCAUGCCAGCCCACUAAGGUCAUGGAAAGUUUGAGUGAUAUUCACUUCUUAUAUUCCCAAGAAGAAAUUGCUAUCCAAACAGCUCAGCUUCAACACACGACUCUUUGUCCAGAACACUUUGCGGCUACAUUCACGUAGUAGUCGUCGCUCCGCCACUCGCCUCCCGGAGCUGUGUGUGUUAAGCAAGCUACCCCGCUGUGUUUCCUUGGCUGGUUUGCUGCCGUUCCACCUCUAAGCUUCAAAAGACACAGCCAUGCGCACCGGGUAGUCGUGGGAUGGUUGUCAAUUUAUGAAUCUCUUUUUCCCUUGCCAUGUAAACUUUUGCGAUGUUGUAUGGAUGCAGGGACGCUCAGUGAGUGUUUCCUGUCCCCCCGAGGCUGUCCAAGCACCACAGACAUAUCCAAAGGGUGGCUGCAAUGGCCCUUCGUUCCCUCCCCGUGUUGAGAAGUAAGUUAGGGAAGCUUGGUGUGGAAGCUUCGGACCCCCCACACAGGGCGAGAGGUGUUGCAGUGAAUAUCUUGUCCAUCACUGUACCUCUCCCUCCCCCCUCCCUCCCUCCCUCCCUGUCUGAUGCCGCCCCAAGCACUGUUGUCGGCCAAGGUUGGAGCCCCGCUGGAGUCUUAGCAGGACUGAUGGUUAAGUUUUUACAGUUUUAAAAAGAGGAAUGUGGAGUCGCUGUUGAUGGCGAUGGUUUCCUCACCUGCCUCCUCAUGAAUAAAUUAAAUAGACGAUGUGCACACCGCAUAUUUAAAACAAUCGGAUGAAUAUUUUUUGAUGCAUAUUUUCCUAAGAUUUUGUUGUUGUUGGCCAGAUCAGAUUUUAAGCUUGGUAAAUUCCCUUCUGCACCCUUUUGUCCGCUGUGCAUGGCCUGGCUGUCUCGGGUCAUGCACGGAGAGCAGAGAGUUUACUUAUUUUAACGGUGAAGUGUCGUGACAUCCCCUCGCACGGACCAUUAGUGGACGGAUCUGCAUCUCGUGUGGGCAUUAUUAAGACUGAGUGACGAUGGGCAUUGGCCGGACGCACCACUCGUCUCCCUCGAAGCGUUUCUGUGUGAAGAUGGUCAGCGAAGACACCACUAGUAUAUCACGUUGCAGCUUUGUACAUAGGAGUGUGUGCAUAUGUGUGUGUCCUGUAUGUGAUACUGUUGGCACCAGAGACCAAGUGUGUUGCCGGUUGAGAACUCCUGAACAGAUGAAGGAAAAAGCUGAAGGAAAGAGAAAUUAAGGUUCUACGCCAAAUUAUGUUGAUGACCCAAAUAUCUAAGAGUGUGUUGCUGGUUGAGAACUCCUGAACAGAUGAAGGAAAAAGCUGAAGGAAAGAGAAAUUAAGGGUUUACGCCAAAUAUUGUUGAUGACCCAAAUAUCUAAGAGUGUGUUGAUGGUUGAGAACUCCUGAACAGAUGACGGGAAGAACGGAAGGAAAGAGAAAUUAAGGUUUUACGCCAAAUAUUGUUGAUGACCCAAAUAUCUAAGGGAGAAGGAAGAUCAUUGAAGCCAGAUAUCGGAGUGUCGUUCAGAGGGACAAGCCGAGGAAGGGAAGGUUCGCCGAGUCGGGUUUGUUUGUGUGCCCUCCUCCCUUACAAUCAAAAUACAGACAUAGGAGAAUAAUACUAUAGCUUUUUUACCAAUGCUGACUGCCAGAGGGUGAUGAUGUUAUGCUGAUUGCCGGUGUGGUGGAUACUGUUUACUGUGUGUGGGUGGGAAGCCCUUUUUUAUUUUAUUUUUUGUUUAUUAUAAUUUUUUGUUUUUUGUGGUUCCCCCGUUGCCAGGAGGGACAUGCAGAGACGAGGCAACCGCACUCAUCACACCAACGGUUUUUUGUAUGCUAUUUAUUAAAGUGAUUGUAUGAUAUAAACUAGAAUAAACAGCAUUUUAUAUA